UACGAAGGGGGCUAGCGUUGCUCGGAAUCACUGGGCGUAAAGGGUGCGUAGGCGGGUCUUUAAGUCAGGGGUGAAAUCCUGGAGCUCAACUCCAGAACUGCCUUUGAUACUGAAGAUCUUGAGUUCGGGAGAGGUGAGUGGAACUGCGAGUGUAGAGGUGAAAUUCGUAGAUAUUCGCAAGAACACCAGUGGCGAAGGCGGCUCACUGGCCCGAUACUGACGCUGAGGCACGAAAGCGUGGGGAGCAACAGGG
rnacentral:rRNA from 1 species